UGCCAGACUCCUACGGGAGGCAGCAGUGGGGAAUAUUGCACAAUGGGGGGAACCCUGAUGCAGCGACGCCGCGUGAGUGAAGAAGUAUUUCGGUAUGUAAAGCUCUAUCAGCAGGGAAGAAAAUGACGGUACCUGACUAAGAAGCCCCGGCUAACUACGUGCCAGCAGCCGCGGUCAUACGUAGGAUCUGAGCAUUAUCCGGAGUGACUGGGUGUAAAGAGUUGCGUAGGUGGCAUAGUAAGUAGCUAGUGAAAUCUGGUGGCUCAACCAUUCAGACUAUUAGCUAAACUGCUAAGCUCGAGACCGUUAGGGGUAACUGGAAUUUCUAGUGUAGGAGUGAAAUCCGUAGAUAUUAGAAGGAACACCAAUAGCGUAGGCAGGUUACUGGGACGGUUCUGACACUAAGGCACGAAAGCGUAGGGAGCAAACGGGAUUAGAUACCCCUGUAGUA
rnacentral:rRNA from 1 species